AAAACUCACCAGGUCAGGACACGGUAAGGAUUGACGGACUGAAGGCUCUUUCUCGAUUCCGUGGAAAGUGGUGCAUGGCCGUUUUUGGUUGGUGGAUCGAUCCGUCUGGUUAAUUCCGUUAACGAACGAGACCUCGGCACUCCGAAUAGCGCGGCGGACGUCGCGGCCUCCGGGCCGUCUUCCGCGCGAGCUUCUUAGAGGGACCGUCCCCCGCCGGGGAAGGAGGUGCGAGGCAACGACAGGUCUGUGAUGCCCUUAGAUGUUCUGGGCCGCACGCGCAUUACACUGACGCGUCCAACGGGUGACUCCCGACCCGAAGGGGCCGGGGAAUCCGCAAGGCGCGUCGUGAUGGGGAUUGAACGUUGCAAUUGUUGUUCACGAACGAGGAAUUCCUAGUAGGCGCGGGUCAUCAACCCGCGCCGAUUACGUCCCUGCCC
rnacentral:rRNA from 1 species